GAUGAACGCUCGCUACAGGCUUAACACAUGCAAGUCGCGGGGCAGCAUGGGGGUUGCUUGCAAUCCCCGAUGGCGACCGGCGCACGGGUGAGUAACGCGUAUCCAACCUGCCCUUCACCACGGGAUAACCCGGCGAAAGUCGGACUAAUACCGUAUGUUGUCCAUUGACGGCAUCCGAUUUGGACGAAAGGCUUGGCGGUGAGGGAUGGGGAUGCGUCCGAUUAGCCAGACGGCGGGGUAACGGCCCACCGUGGCUACGAUCGGUAGGGGUUCUGAGAGGAAGGUCCCCCACACUGGAACUGAGACACGGUCCAGACUCCUACGGGAGGCAGCAGUGAGGAAUAGUGGUCAAUGGGCGUAAGCCUGAACCAGCCAAGUAGCGUGCAGGAUGACGGCCCUAUGGGUUGUAAACUGCUUUUAUGCGGGGAUAAAGUGGCCCACGUGUGGGCUUUUGCAGGUACCGCAUGAAUAAGGACCGGCUAAUUCCGUG
rnacentral:rRNA from 1 species